AUGCUCCUGACCUUGGCGUUUGGCUGUUCUGGACCAUGAGGCUGCUCUGGACUCACCCCAGCACCUGCGCUCGAGUGUCAGGCACUGAAGCCUGACAGCAAGUGCUGGGGCCAGAGAAGACUUACUGAAAAACUUCCACAUCUGGAUCGUGCCUGUGGACCAGCAGAAAUGGGGUACUCUUUGCCUCUGUGACAGGAUACACCACCGCUGCAACAUAUACAAACUCUCUGUUUCCGUUGCCUCCUCUUCCGUAUUAUAGAUAGUUUUGAGACUGCUGGAUAUUCUGGGAGUGACUUCUUAAAUGUAUUUCUGAGCCGGGAAUCUACUGAGGGGCCAGAUUUUAUAGAUUUCCUGCACAAGACUGAACUUCUUUCAGGAUGGCCAAUUGAAAAGUUGCCUUACAACAACCUCAGAAUUUGUGCUCAGACCUUCUUCAGGCCAGGCACGGUCAUUACAAAGGAUUCAAAGUCAUCAUCCAAAAUUUAUGUGAUCAAAACUCAGAGGGGACCUGGGAGUCAGAAGGUUCAGCCGUUCUCAGACACUUUUAUUGAAGAAGAAUACCUCUUGCCAG
rnacentral:lncRNA from 1 species